UUUGUUAUUUGUUUUUCAUGUGCCAGAAUGACUAAAUGUGUCUUCCUUGAAUGCAGCAUUGUUCUUCGGAGAGGUGUGAGAAUGCGAGUCAGAGUAGAAAAAGAGCUUUCACAUGCAGCUGAUGACACACCAAUGAUGAGUGCGGUGACAUACAGUUUAUGCAGCAUGGGGAAGGCCUCCUUGUACUGCUGGAUGCAUUUGCACACUUCAGAGAGGUGGAUUAGGAGUGCUUCCACAGUGAGAGAAAUGCUCCUCCCAGAAGGAGUCGCAACGUAACUCCUUCAGUAUACUCAGUGAGGCUGCCACCACCUCUCCUGCAGUGCAUAAAUCUACUGUUUGUGACUGGAGAAUUGAAUUGGCUGGCUUCAGCGCACCAAGCACACGAAGGAGAAAUCUACCAGUGUCAAAGAAGUUCAGGCAGUUCAGCUGGGUCAGAAGACCACACGCUUCUGUACAGAGGUCAAGGAGCAGUGUUAUCGUCUGCUACCUCAGACAGAAGCUGCCUGAUGGCAUCCUCAUUGUCAACAAUUGAUUUUGUGACAUCAUGAUGACUGGUCCAUCGGAUUUCAAGGAGUCUUUUCAGUGUGGGGGUGUCAUAUCUAUGUACAACAUAAUGUCUGUGACAAAAUGUGUUCAUUGCACCAGACCAGUCAAAGAACUUCUUUGCUAGAGGCUCAGACUGCAUUGCAUGUACCACUGCCAGAUGUAGUUGGUGAUUGUAACAGUGGACAUAAGGGAUGUCUUUGCCAACUUUGCUCUGUAGCAAGGCCUGGACACCACCCCUCACUCCUGACAUAACAGAAGCACCAUCAUAGCAUUGGGAGACCAAAUUAUUUGCACUGUAACCCAGAUCAGACAAAUGUGAAAGGAUUUGAUUGCACAUAUAUUCAGCAUUAAGCUGGUCCAAUUCAACUAAGCCAAUUAAAUGUUCCUCUGGAAUGGAA